AUGGCAACCAGCACAGAGGCAGGACUGAUCCCAAACCCAGUGGCUCCUCUUUGGUUAUCCUCUUACUCCUUGCGAAUGCCUCAGUGCACCUGGGAUGUAAGUGCUUGGUGGGAGUUAACUCGCCCCAUCUGGACAACAGCCUGUGUGGUGGGCACCCCUGCGCGCUCUGUUUGAUAAAGCUUCUGAAUCAGAGGUGGACUCAGGAACACGUGGUGUCACUCGUGCCGCAGGGGAUUCUAACGGAAAUCACGCCCUGACUUGUGUGCUUGGCACCCAGAGAAGACGUCAUUUGUUUUAAGAAUAGAAAAGCGAUGCGGCUGCACGUGUCCUCCAGCUGACAGAUCCAAGAGACCCAUGAUCCACUCUCCUGAAGCAGAGGGACCUGGCUCUUUCUCGAAAGUGUAUACAUUCUGAGACUGUUGGUUUACACGAGUUUUUUGUAAACUGUUUCAUUAAUUGUGGUCAUUUCUGAAUUUCUUAAGGCCUCA